rnacentral:ncRNA from 1 species
AACGAUAGAGGUCGCGAUAUUUAUAAGUAGGACUAUUUAAAGGUUUAAGGAGCCUAUAUAGUUUAAAAGGAAAUAUUGCCGAAGUACAUUUGAAUCCUUAGCAAAUGUUUCUGGGGUAUUGCAAAAUAUGCAAUAAACUGUCACUUACAAAAAAGUGGAGAGCUAUCA